AUUGCACGCUGGCGGCAGGCCUACCACAUGCAAGUCGAGCGAGCGGCGGCCGGGUGCGUCAUGUCGGGGAAAAUGCCUGAUGGCGGGGGAUAACUACUGGAAACGGUAGCUAAUACCGCAUACCAUCCGAUUUGCCAAGAUGGGAUUAGCUAGUCGUUGGGGUAACGGCUCACCUCGGCGACGAUCCCUAGCUGGUCUGAGAGGAUGACCAGCCACACUGUAACUGAGACACGGUCCAGACGCCUACGGGAGGCAGCAGUGGGGAAUAUUGCACAAGGGGGGAAAGCCUGAUGCAGCCAUGCCGCGUGUGUGAAGAAGGCCUUCGGGUUGUAAAGCACUUUCAGCGGGGAGGCGUUACCCGCAGAAGAAGCACCGGCUAACUCCGUGCCAGCAGCCGGGGUAAUGC
rnacentral:rRNA from 1 species